rnacentral:tRNA from 1 species
GCCCUAGUAGCUUAACCACCAAAGCCCUGGUUUUGUAAACCAAAGACGGACGACAUCGCCCCUAGGACAUCAAAAAAAGUCACACGCCUAUCUCUAGUCCCCAAAACUAGUGUUUUUUCGCUUAAACUAUUUUUUGCUUAACACGAAAAGAACCGGGCAUAGCGAACAA